GUUGUGGGAGUGCUGCGGAGAGUAAGACCAUCAGUGCAUCAAGGAGUGAGCUGGCUUCAAACACACAUGUUCUCAUGUCAGUGCGGCUACAAAAUGGCUUUUGCAGAGCAUCACUGCUUGUGCAUGAAGGGGCCCAAAGGAAUGACUCUCAGCUGGGAUGGAUCUGCAAGGGAUCUCCUAGGUUCCAUCAUCCUCAUCCCAGAAUUAGACUGAACAGACAAUGCCUGGCAAUCACCUCCACAGAAAGACAGAACUCUCAGACUUACAAUAAGGGCUAUUCUCUCCUGAAUGGAGGAAUCCAAAAUGCUCCAGCUUUUUAUUGAUACACUGCAAAGGGAAAUAUAGAUUCUCCUCCACUGGCCAGCUUCCCAUUAAAGCAGUCACCUCAGGCCCAUGAUGAACCAGUGAAGCUGAACCAAGAGGAAGCAGCAGACAGUAGUUCUCAGGAGUUUACAGAAUCAGCAUUUCUGACUGACUGCCUCCCCCACUCCUUCGAAUCUCUCAACCUAAACCACCACAUUCACCAGGACAGACAGGACGGGAAAUGAGAAGAAAAGCUUUCUCUACAUCACCACUCUUCUUUAUAAAACUGCCACCCCCAUCUCUCACCAAAGGCAACAGAGCAACCUUGAAAUUCAAGGCAGCCACUGGAACAAGUUGGUUGGGUUAGAGACAGGAGCUCUGGACCAUGUCUUUAAGGAUUCAGCAUCCUCCAACCAGCACAGGAUUCAUCUAUCUUUCAUCCUAUAUGGGUUUCAAAGUGAGGUUGCAUGGAAAAAGAGAGCCUGGGGGGAGAAUGACCAUGCCACAGAGGGCUCACAGGCUGCUCCAUGAAGUCACAUCCUGCAUGGGUGGUAUGGUCUCAGAUUUUUGCUUGUCCUUGAUGAAAGGAGACAAAAAUGAUUAAAAUGCUCUCCCAUGGCAGGUUCAUAUGGCUGUCAUGGAUAACCCUGAGCUAAGCAAAUCCACUUUGCCCAAGUCAUUACCCAGGACAUCAAGUGACAACAAGGUUGCGAUGGGGCACCUAGAGGAAGAGAGAUGCCACUGGCUGAGAGAAUGGAAAUCUAACUUUCCUACCCUCUCACAGCUUCUGCUUUCCAGAAACAGCAUCCCACAGACCUAAACCGAAGCAGCCUGCAGCAGAGCCUGUUGGGGACCAACCAGGGGACACCUUAGUUCCAAACUAAGACUGCCACCAGGGAAGCACUGGGAUCAGCAGGGCUCUCCCUUCUCGAAGCCCACCUUCAACAGCGAUGGCAUGUGGGCUCCAUCGGUCAGCCACUGCCUCCAUCUGCAUUUCCACAGCCUGCCCUGAUGGUUUUGCUCUCUUGGGACUCCUGCAACCAAAGUCCUAAACAAUGAGGAUAUGCAAGUGUCACAUGCCCACUGGACUAAGACCCACAGCAUUGCCCCAAAUGAUACAGAGCUGAUGGGAACAGACCCUGGCAAGCUGGUGGUGAUGGUGCCAUAACCCACAGAUGCAGAUAGACCCACCCUGAUGCAUGAUGACUGUGACUUUGGCUUAUUGUGCAUUCUGAUUCUCUACUGCAGAAGACGUAAAUGUGCCUGUUGGUGGCCUAGAAACACCAACUUGUUAAAAAGGGGAGAGGAAACAAAAAAAAAAUUAAAAAAUGAAUGCAGCAUCUGUCACUCCCCUGCAGAAAUAUUUUUUUUGAUGCAUAGUUGGUGCUUGUUUUUCAAAGAUUGACAUUUUUGUGUGUCCUUCGCUUUUCAUGUGUUUUGAGACCUUAGAAAUUCAAAACACUUCUCAGUCAUGUCAAUCCUUCUGGACAAAACAGAGCUGCCAUUUGGAGGCAUAAAAAACCCCCAGAACAAACAAAACGCACUUUUCUAUCAAGCUGUGACUCGGUCACCCUACUCAAUGCGAGCAGGACAAUGUUUAGAGAAAGCAAAAAGAAAGAUCUGAGUUUUCAUACUCAUCGGUGGAACUAAAUUGAUUAAGGUCAUUUCCUAGGUACGUCUGAAAUCUUCUGCAACAAUUUUUUGAAAAGAGAAAGAAAAUUCCCCCCAAAAAGGGAAAAGACACUACUGCAAAAACAUUAAAUCUGCUUGGGUAACUCAGAAUAUAUGUUGGCAAGGCAACAUAUCUCAGCUUGAACUGUAAACCUGCUAUGUCAGAGGCUCUGCAACAUAUGAAAGAGACUUGAAUUUCAAUAUAUCAUGCUGAAUUUACUUCUUUUCAGUCUUUCACGAGUCACGGCUACCCUCCACACAAGUAAUGUCAAUCCCCAGAGAGGACCUCAUACCCGCUUCCCAAGCCCUAGUGCUCCUAGUGGAGAGGAGUGGGAUGGUGCUUCCCAGCUCUACCCAUCCUUUCAGGGGUCAAGAAGAUGAGGUGGGCCCUCAGUCACAGCUCUUCCCAUCCAAGAAGCUGCAAAGUACCUGCACAGACAAUGCUACAGUUGUUGAUGGUGAGGGUUGUGGUCCGGACCUUUACUUCUA